rnacentral:rRNA from 1 species
AUGCCUGGCGGCAGGACUGCGCACUCUAGGUUCAAGAUACCAUUGAGUUGUGACGACGGAGCCUCGUGCAGCUUCUCCAAGCAGAGUGGGACCGCAAAGCUACUAAGGAUGGCAUCGUUGAUACUAUGGGAUGAGGCCAGCAUGACUAAACGACAGGCGGUUGAGGCAUUGGACAAUAGCAUGCAUGACAUAAUGGGAACACGCGACAUACCCUUUGGAGGAAAGACUGUUGUCUUUGGCGGUGACUUUAGGCAGGUGCUUCAUGUUGUCAGAAGGGGGUCGCGUGGCCAGAUAAUUGAUGCAACCCUUCGGAGUUCUCAUCUAUAG